UGAGUAACCUGCCCUUAACUCUGGGAUAAGCCUGGGAAACUGGGUCUAAUACCGGAUAUGACUCCUCAUCGCAUGGUGGGGGGUGGAAAGCUUUUUGUGGUUUUGGAUGGACUCGCGGCCUAUCAGCUUGUUGGUGAGGUAAUGGCUCACCAAGGCGACGACGGGUAGCCGGCCUGAGAGGGUGACCGC
rnacentral:rRNA from 1 species